GGCAACCCGCUCGGGUUCCCUUCCACACUGUGGAAGCUUUGUUCUUUCGCUCUUUGCAAUAAAUCUUGCUACUGCUCACUCUUUGGGUCCACGCUGCUUUUAUGAGCUGUAACACUCACCGCGAAGAUCUGCAGCUUCACUCCUGAGCCCAGCAAGACCACAAACCCACCGGGAGGAACGAACAACUCCAGACACGCUGCCUUAAGAGCUGUAACACUCACCGCGAAGGUCUGCAGCUUCACUCCUGAGCCAGCGAGACCACGAACCCACCAGAAGGAAGAAACUCCAAACACAUCCGAACAACAGAAGGUACAGACUCCAGACGCGCCACCCUAAGAGCUGUAACACUCACCGCGAGGGCCCGCGGCUUCAUUCUUGAAGUCAGUGAGACCAAGAACCCACCAGAAGGAAGAAACUCCGAACACAUCUGAACAUCAGAAGGGACAGACUCCAGACACGCCACCCUAAGAGCUGUAACACUCACCGUGAGGGUCCGCGGCUUCAUUCUUGAAGUCAGUGAGACCAAGAACCCACCAAUUCCGGACACACUGGGAUUACAGGUGUGAGCCACUGUGCCUAGCCGACAUAAUUCCAUUUAUAGGACAUUCUGGAAAAGGCAAAGCUGUAGUGACAGAGAACAGAUAGUGGUGGCCAGGGAUAAGGGAUGCAUGGCCACAGAGAGGCCGCACAGACUUCCUGUGUGGUGACGGAACCGUUCUGUCCUGACUGUGAUGUUGAUGACGUGAACUUGGACGUGUUUUAAAACUCCUCUGAGGAAGCUGGCUCCUGGUUAAAAAGGUCUGUGCGAAAUUUCAGGCACAAACAUAAACAAUCACCAAGGCUUUACCCUGUGGGCCUCAUAGAGGAAAACUGCCCUCCCCACAACAGACGUGGUGUACAGCCAACGUACUGUGGAUGCUACAGGACUAUGAUGUGGUCCCCAGUCCUGAAUGUAUUGUUGAUGCUGAUGUCCCAUCUAUGUACACCCCUGCUAGCCUUUGCCCCAGUCCCUGAUGGGAACUGCUGCAGUUAGGGCCGUUACAGAGCAGCAUAGGAAGACUGAAUCCACCCAACUCAGGCUAUGGCUAGUUCCCUGGCCAUUGGAUCAGGCCACCGGCCAGCCUCAGACUGGCAGGUAAAACAAGGUUCCUGGUGGAGACAGGACUUUUUUUAAAAAAACUAAUUUCAACUUUUUCUUUAGACUCACGAGUACAUGUGCAGGUUUGUUUUGUGGGUUUACUGCGUAAUGCUGAGGUUUGGGGUACGACUGAUCCUGUCACCCAGGUGGUGAGCACAGAACCCAACAGGCUUCCCUCUUCCCUCCCUCCCUCCCCACGUUUGAGGUCCCCCGUGUCUACUGGUCCCAUCUUCGUGUCCACGUGUACCCAGUGUUUUGCUCCCACUUAUAAAUAAGAACAGAGAACAUUUGGUUUCCUGUUCCUGAGGACGAGACAUUUAGAUAAAAAUCAGUUCUGCUCCUAAGAAGCAUUUUGUUACCCAUACGGGUGCUCACCAAAAAGACUCCGGUGCUGACCCAGGAAACACAACCACCCAACUGCACUUGCUAAAUGCAGACUAAGAUGUCUUCCACUCCGGAGCAAGCAGAUAUGUGACUGACCGCCUCAUGGAGCCACGAGAAACGUCCCACAGAGAUGCAGACAUGGCCUAGACCGAGCCUCCGCGUGUGCUGCUUCUGCUCUCAGAAGACGGUGAACCACGGGAAACAGCUGUCCUGCUUUCCAGACUCUGGUCAAGGCUAGCACCGCCCAAAGGCAGAUUCCCAGGUCAAUCGGCCAUGACAUUCUCGGCAGACCUGCUGCUAAAAGCUUUCUCCUCCUCCUAAAAAACCAAACACAAGAGCUCCUCUUGCUGCCUUUCCAUGGACUGUGGCGGCUGUGGACUUGGACUGUCUGCUGAGCCCACACCUCGGCUUCCUCACGGUGCUGACGAGGAGAGGCAGGGGACUGCCUUGGCUCCUGGGCUCUGUGCAGAACUCCUCCAGAGACUGUCCACACUCUGAUAAGGUGGGACUAACAAACUCAUGUCAUGGAUAAACAGAAUGGUUUGGUACUCAGUCCCAGGCAGGCCCUCUGAAGUCAAGGCCUAAACCCAAUGAUCCAGACUGGACAGAGGCCCGACGAUGGGAAGCCACCUUGGAUCCCUGUUAACCUCACAACCUGAGGCGUGUGUGCCUGGCUGGGGCACCUGACCUUGUGAAUUCGUUGUUUCUAGGGGACCACGUGUGCCCUCUGGGAUUGCACUCAGGACCUGUCUCAGCCUGGAAGACAUUCAGGUCACGUUCAAUUUCCUGGCCAGUGUUCUGCUGUGCCUGAAUUGAUGCCUCAGGCCAGGUAAAGAAGAUUCACACAGAUUCUUCUGUCUCUCCAGUGGGCUGUGGGGCGUCUUUCCUGGCAUGGCAACUGCCGAGGUGACUGCUGAGGCCAUGUUCAGUCCUCCAGGCCCGACCAUCCUGCUUGAAAUGGCGUCAUAGCCAUGGUCUGCUGUUGCCUCAGACGAUUUACCUGGUUAUUGUCACGGCCCGUCAAAGUCUGACCUAUUGGGGUCCAUGAUGAGGUAGCCUGUUUCACACUUAGGUCCUAAAAAAUCAAGGAGUGGAGUCAAGGAGUUCAGCUCCUGGUUAAAUACCUGUAGUGCGGCCGGGCACGGUGGCUCACGUCUGUAAUCCCCGCACUUUGGGAGACUGAGGUGGGUGGAUCACAAGGUCAGGAAAUUGAGACUAUCCUGGCUAACACAGUGAAACCUCGUCUCUACUAAAAAUACAAAAAAAUUAGCCGGGUGUGGUGGCAGGCGCCUGUAGUCCCAGCUACUCGGGAGGCUGAGGCAGGAGAAUGGUGUGAACCGGGGAGGCGGAGCUUGCAGUGAGCUGAGAUUGUGCCACUGCACUCCAGUCUAGGCGAGAGAGCGAGACUCCAUCUCAAAAAAAAAAAACAAAAAAACCUGUAGUGCAUGUUCAGGUGUAAGCACAGGCAAUUACCAAGGCUUUACCCAGCAGGCCUCAGGGGAAAACUGCCCUCCCAAGAGACUUGGUGCACGGCCAGCGCACUCUGGUCUUUGAGGGGAGCUGCAGUCAGGGGUCGUGAUCUCACACAUUUGCCCUUCUUACCCAGGCACCUGCACUCCAGUCUCCUGAGGCCUUUCUCAGGUGCUAAUGCAAGACCUCCUCGUUGGGGUGGGGGAGAACCCUGAAGACACUUUUCCCCACUUUGACUCAGUACCUGGUACUUUUCUACUCCCAGCCCCUCCCUCCCUACCCCAGGGUCCAAAAAAAUUGCUGGAGUUUUUUGUUCAGGGCUCCCUUGGCUGAGGGCAAAGAGACAAUCCCCACAUCUGCACUGAUGCAACUGGCUCUUUGUCAGAAGCAUUAGAACCAAAGCGACUCCAUCUUGAGUGAGGGCGAGGGAAAAUGAGGCUGGAGCUUGCUGGACAGCAUUGCCAGGAGGUGAGGUAUUCCUGGCCUCUAGAUGUUUACGGUUAAGGGAACAGAUUAGUAAUGUGUACUAAACAGACCCAUGUCUUGAGAACAAAACCGUUUCUAAUUUUGCUUUAAAGAUAAUAAUAUUGAUUCUUAUAAAACAUAUUAAGAAAAUCAAUCCUUUGUCACAAACCCUUGUGGCUGAGCACAUCUCCCUGUGACUGUCAUUGUUGUUGUCCUACAUGUCAACAAGCCUUGUACCUAGGGUGGGCGCCUUCCUCCUCCUGCUUUCCGGAAUGCCCUGCUCUGCCUAUGGAGUAGCCAUCCUUUAUUCCUUUACUUUUUUUUUUUUGAGACGGCGUCUUGCUCCGUCACCCAGGCUGGAGUGCAGUGGUGCCACUCCUGGCGUGGGACUGAACAUCAAAAAAAGAAAAUAUCAGGAAGAAAGGAAAGGCAGGGAAAGGGUGAGAGGGGAGAGGCUGGCUAGGUGGUAAGAAUUCCUCCGAAAGGUGAGGGGACACCACAGUCUGUUUCUUGAGUCAACAAAGUACGGAAACAGAGCUGAACGCAGAUCCCUGCAUGUCAGGCCUUUGCCAACAGAAGCGGCAUUUCCAUCCAAAACACAUCAACAUUCCAGGGGAGAGCAUACUUAUGGGGACCAUUUGAAGGUUUCGUAAUGAUCAAUUCUGCCAGGUGAUUUAAGUUUCUUUCCUAAAACUGGAAUCUAGGUAGGAUGUGCAACCAAGACCCCAUCUCAGUCCUCGAAGAAACUGUGUUCUGAAUUCUUUCGAUUCAUGCCCUUAGCUGACAUUGAGGAGCUCCAAGAAAUAGUCCUAGGAAACCUGUUUGUUUAUUACAAGGCUGCUAUUUAGGAUCUUACCACUAUGCCAGGUACAUGAAUAAUUAUCAAAACAUUUUCUUUAUGUGUAAUUAUCGGAAGUAUUUGCUUCUCCAGAGUAAUCUGUCUGCUUUUUCCUUUUGACAAGAGGAACCCACGUUAACUAUUCCUACUUCCCUUUCUGUUAUGGCUUCUGGAAAUAACAGAAAAGCUUGCAGUUCAACUCUGUAACAGGGAAGGAUCCCAUUUCUUAUUGAUCUCUUCCAACUUUAAGACUUUUGUAUGAUUCUUUUUCUCACUUUGUCACCCUGGCUGGAGUGCACUGAUGCGAUCUCAGCUCACUGCAGCCUCCAUCUCCUGGGUUCAAGUGAUUCUCAUGCCUCAGCCUCCCGAGUAGCUGGGAGGCUAAUUUUUGUAUUUUCAGUAGAGACGGGGUUUUGCCAUGUUGGCCAGGCUGGUCUCAAACUCCUGACCUCAAAUGAUCUGCCCUCCUUGGCCUCCCAAAGGGCUGGGAUUACAGGCAUGAGCCACCAUGCCCAGCUGAGACUUUUGUAUGUUUCUAUAAUCUACUUUGUGCUUCUUUGGACAUCUUCUUUCCCAAGUUUAUAUUUUCUCUUAUUUAAAUGUAUUUAGACCCUUCUGUGUGUUGCAGAGAUUUCUGUAAGCCUCGUAACACCCACAAAACAGAGGAUAAACCGAUAACCCACCUGUGACUGGAUCAUUUUCAUGAAACAGAGGAUAAACCAAUAACCCACCUGUGACUGGAUCAUUUUCAUGAAACAGAGGGUAAACCGAUAACCCACCUGUGACUGGAUCAUUUUCCGCUGCUCUUGGGAAAUCUGCUGUUUUGUGACUUCUCUUAGUCCUGACACCCUGGAGUGGCCUCUGGUCAGUGGUCUGUAAACUGAGAAUACAUCCUUGGUCUUGUGGGCUCUUC